CCCCGGUAAACGGCGGCCGUAACUAUAACGGUCCUAAGGUAGCGAAAUUCCUUGUCGGGUAAGUUCCGACCUGCACGAAUGGCGUAAUGAUGGCCAGGCUGUCUCCACCCGAGACUCAGUGAAAUUGAACUCGCUGUGAAGAUGCAGUGUACCCGCGGCAAGACGGAAAGACCCCGUGAACCUUUACUAUAGCUUGACACUGAACAUUGAGCCUUGAUGUGUAGGAUAGGUGGGAGGCUUUGAAGUGUGGACGCCAGUCUGCAUGGAGCCGACCUUGAAAUACCACCCUUUAAUGUUUGAUGUUCUAACGUGGACCCGUAAUCCGGGUUGCGGACAGUGUCUGGUGGGUAGUUUGACUGGGGCGGUCUCCUCCUAAAGAGUAACGGAGGAGCACGAAGGUUGGCUAAUCCUGGUCGGACAUCAGGAGGUUAGUGCAAUGGCAUAAGCCAGCUUGACUGCGAGCGUGACGGCGCGAGCAGGUGCGAAAGCAGGUCAUAGUGAUCCGGUGGUUCUGAAUGGAAGGGCCAUCGCUCAACGGAUAAAAGGUACUCCGGGGAUAACAGGCUGAUACCGCCCAAGAGUUCAUAUCGACGGCGGUGUUUGGCACCUCGAUGUCGGCUCAUCACAUCCUGGGGCUGAAGUAGGUCCCAAGGGUAUGGCUGUUCGCCAUUUAAAGUGGUACGCGAGCUGGGUUUAGAACGUCGUGAGACAGUUCGGUCCCUAUCUGCCGUGGGCGCUGGAGAACUGAGGGG
rnacentral:rRNA from 1 species